rnacentral:rRNA from 1 species
CCUACGGGAGACAGCAGUGAGGAAUAUUGGUCAAUGGGCGCGAGCCUGAACCAGCCAAGUAGCGUGAAGGAUGACGGCCCUCCGGGUUGUAAACUGCUUUUAGUUGGGAAUAAAAGGGGGCUCGUGAGCCCCGUCUUGUAUGUACCAUCAGAAAAAGGACCGGCUAAUUCCGUGCCAGCAGCCGCGGUAAUACGGAAGGUCCGGGCGUUAUCCGGAUUGAUUGGGUUUAAAGGGAGCGUAGGCCGGCUUUUAAGUCAGCUGUGAAAGUCCGCGGCUCAACCGUGGAAUUGCAGUUGAAACUGGAGGCCUGGAGUGCACACAGGGAUGCCGGAAUUCAUGGUGUAGCGGUGAAAUGCUUAGAUAUCAUGAAGAACUCCGAUCGCGAAGGCAAGUGUCCGGGGUGCAACUGACGCUGAGGCUCGAAAGUGCGGGUAUCAAACAGGAUUAGAUACCCGGGUAGUC